UGUGUUUCUAUUGUAACCACUACUUAAUUUAAUUAGCAAUAAAUUCAGUAGGAAAGUUACUUUUGUUCUAGGGUCACACAGGAGGAUGAUAAGCAUAUAAGUUUCAACAACUCAAGUUUAUUUUUCUUUCCCCACACACACAAAAAAAAUAAUCCAGGCUUCAGACCGAGUCACAAAGAUGGCGGCGGGACCCUCCUGCUUCUGGAACUCCACUGGCUCGUUCAGAUAUCGGUCGUACA